rfam:Triticum aestivum genome assembly, contig: Triticum_aestivum_CS42_TGACv1_scaffold_000001_1AL
UUAGUACUCCCUUCGUCCGAAAAUACUUGUCGAAGAAAUGGAUAAAAAUGGAUGCAUCUAAAAACUAAAAUACGUCUAGAUACAUCCAUUCCUCCGACAAGUAUUUUCGGACGGAGGGAGUAGUUC